UACGGAGGGGGCUAGCGUUGUUCGGAAUUACUGGGCGUAAAGCGCACGUAGGCGGCUUUGUAAGUUAGAGGUGAAAGCCCGGGGCUCAACUCCGGAAUUGCCUUUAAGACUGCAUCGCUAGAAUUGUGGAGAGGUAAGUGGAAUUCCGAGUGUAGAGGUGAAAUUCGUAGAUAUUGGGAAGAACACCGGUGGCGAAGGCGGCUCACUGGCCCGUAACUGACGCUCAUGCACGGACAGCGUGGGGAUCAAACAGG
rnacentral:rRNA from 1 species